AGGAUAGGGCUGACACAGAGCCUGGCUGAGGGGAUGAGGAUGGUAGCAGGUUCUGGAGACAAACUGCUUGACCUCAAACCUGACUCUGCCGCUUACAGGAGAAAACCUCCACCAUCUCUACAGAGUCUGAACUUCUUUUCUCCUUUUACAAACUAAAGAAGCAAACAUGCAUACAAUGGACUGAAAUUGCAACAAAAUCCUGCAUUCCCACUUGACGAGGGCCCCUGAAAAACUGCAAGGUGUCUGAUGGGGUUCUCUUCAAUCAGCCUGGAGCUGCCCAGAAGCUCCCAGUGUGGGGCUGUUGGAGCAGAGAAGGCUUGGACUAGCAGACCCCAGCUCCCAGCUGACAGAUCCAGCUUCUAAAGAGACUGCGUAGAGCUUGCUCAGACCUGCCUCUUUCUCUCACUUUUCCUUAAACAACCAUUAGUCCCAUUUUGUAACAGCUGCCUGCAGAGAAGAGACACCAACUUUUUUUUUUUAAAUCAAGUCUUAUUUGGUGUUCAUGUACAGCUGCCUAGUGGGCUCUGGUGCCUCUCAGAUUCUAUGUUUGGUAUCAGAACAAGCCUUCUUCUGUCCACUCAGACCCCUCUCCAUUCUGGUAAGGAAAUGUCUACACCUGAAGGCCCAAGUGGUUUCAAAUCCUGAAAUCACUUCGGGUCAUUUUACAGCUGGAAGUUGUACGGCUUGGAGCCUUGUUACUCAAAAUUUCAUCUGUGAAUCAGUAGUGUCGGCAGCAUGUGAGUCUUUGCGGAUUAUCUGCCCCUGCUCCAGACCUAUACAGAGUCGGCAUCUCUGGGGGAGGGGCCCAGAAGUCAGCCUUGUAACAAGCCCUGAUUCUGACGCACACUGAAUAUUCAGAAGCUCUGGCACGUUAUCCCGUGCCAUUAUUUUUUUUAAGUUUAUUUAUUUAUUUUGAGGAAAGAUAGAGAGAGUGAGCAGGAGUGGGGCAGA